GUUGACCUCGGAUCAGGUAGGGAUACCCGCUGAACUUAAGCAUAUCAAUAAGCGGG
rnacentral:rRNA from 1 species